GUAUGACGUUUACGUCGGUCGGCGCCAUUUUUGGUGUCCACAGACCAAAACAAACUAGUUAGAACACCGGUGUUUUCUUUGCGUUACCGACCUAAGUGAAGUUGUUUUCAAGUUGGAUAUUGGAUAUUCGUGCUCCGCGGAGUAAGGCGCGUUUAGCUAAAGGUUGAUCUGAUUUAUGAAUGCUAAUUUCGGCCAGCUUUUCUCUACCGCUCCCUCCUCAAGGGCACCGCAGUGAAGUUAGUUUUAAGUUGGAUAUUCGAGCUCCGCGGAGUAAGCGGCAUUUAGCUCAAGGCUGAUCCGAUUUAUGAACGCUAAUGUUGGCCAGCUGUUCUCCACUGUUCCCGGUACUAUAGAUCAACUGGGGGCUAAAUCAACUGGUGGUGGCAGCUGGAAAAGACUGAUGUUUCUGUGGGCGUGGCUUUUUAGGACCCCUUUACCGAACCAGGAAGUAAACAAUGCGAUAAGCUUAAAGAACUACAAAUCUUUGCAAAAAUACUAUCCGAUUCCGUAAAACAACCACUAAGAUCUCGGGAAUAACUAAUUAAAAAGACUUUAUUGGUCUAAUAUGGUAUGUUGCCUUUUUUUUUUUAAAGUUCAUCUGCAAAACCAUCAAAACAUGUAAAUUACGCAGAACUUGUCCUGACUUAUGUGUUGCUUCAGAGGUUGAAACUCGUCAAAGGAAGAUCGAAAUAGAUCUCGAUGUGGCAUGAGCAGAUCUCAAAGCAAAGAUUAUUCCCUGAAAGCCGACAUAAAUGUUGAAGAGCCUUGGGAUUAAAAAUGAAAUGUUUAAAAAGAUCGACUGGCUGUGUAAUUUUUCCACAUAUUCCUCAUAUUGUGAUAUUUCAAAUAGGUAUCCACAGAAACUAUAGC